rnacentral:rRNA from 1 species
UACGUAGGGGGCAAGCGUUGUCCGGAAUCAUUGGGCGUAAAGCGCGCGUAGGCGGCCCGGUAAGUCCGUUGUGAAAGUCAAAGGCUCAACCUUUGAACGCCGAUGGAUACUGCCGGGCUGGAGUCCGGAAGAGGCGAGUGGAAUUCCUGGUGUAGCGGUGGAAUGCGCAGAUAUCAGGAGGAACACCAGCGGCGAAGGCGGCACUCUGGGCUGGAACUGACGCUGAGGAGCGAAAGCGUGGGUAGCAAACAGG